GAUGAACGCUAGCGGCAGGCUUAAUACAUGCAAGUCGAGGGGCAGCAUGGUGUAGCAAUACACUGAUGGCGACCGGCAAACGGGUGCGGAACACGUACAGAACCUUCCUUCGAGCGGGGAAUAGCCCAGAGAAAUUUGGAUUAAUACCCCAUAGUACAAUAGAGUGGCAUCACUUUGUUGUUAAAGAUUUAUCACUUGAAGAUGGCUGUGCGGCUGAUUAGGUAGUUGGCGGGGUAACGGCCCACCAAGCCUGCGAUCAGUAACUGGUGUGAGAGCACGACCAGUCACACAGGCACUGAGACACGGGCCCGACUCCUACGGGAGGCAGCAGUAAGGAAUAUUGGUCAAUGGACGAAAGUCUGAACCAGCCAUGCCGCGUGGAGGAUGAAGGUCCUCUGGAUUGUAAACUUCUUUUAUAUGGGACGAAAAAAGGCCUUUCUAGGUCGUCUGACGGUACCAUGUGAAUAAGCACCGGCUAACUCCGUGCCAGCAGCCGCAGUAACAC
rnacentral:rRNA from 1 species